GAUGAACGCUGGCGGCGUGCCUAAUACAUGCAAGUCGAGCGAACAGACGAUGAGCUUUCUCCUCUGCCGUUUGCGGCGGACGGGUGAGUAACACGUGUAUAACCUACUUAUUUGACUUGGAUAACUUCGUGAAACCGGAUCUAAUACCGGAUAAUAUAUUGAACCGCUUGGUUCAAUAGUUCUUGACGUUUUUGCUGUCUCUUAUAGAUGGUUCCAGGCGGCAUUAGCUAGUUGGUAAGGUAACGGCUUACCAAGGCAACGAUGCGUAGCUGACCUGAGAGGGUGAUCGGCAACACUGGAACUGAGAAACGGUCCAGACUCCUACGGGAGGAAGCAGUAGGGAAUAUUGGGCAAUGGGCGAAAGCCUGACGGAGCAACGCCGCGUGAGUGAAGAAGGUCUUCGGAUCGUAAAACACUGUUAGUAGGGAAGAAAAAAAGUGGAAGAAAAUAUGGACGUCUUGACGGUACCAAAAGAAAAAGCAACGGCUAACUACGUG
rnacentral:rRNA from 1 species